rnacentral:rRNA from 1 species
AGUGAACGCUGGCGGUAGGCCUAACACAUGCAAGUCGAACGGCAGCACAGGAGAGCUUGCUCUCUGGGUGGCGAGUGGCGGACGGGUGAGGAAUACAUCGGAAUCUACCCUGUCGUGGGGGAUAACGUAGGGAAACUUACGCUAAUACCGCAUACGACCUACGGGUGAAAGCAGGGGAUCUUCGGACCUUGCGCGAUUGAAUGAGCCGAUGUCGGAUUAGCUAGUUGGCGGGGUAAAGGCCCACCAAGGCGACGAUCCGUAGCUGGUCUGAGAGGAUGAUCAGCCACACUGGAACUGAGACACGGUCCAGACUCCUACGGGAGGCAGCAGUGGGGAAUAUUGGACAAUGGGCGCAAGCCUGAUCCAGCCAUACCGCGUGGGUGAAGAAGGCCUUCGGGUUGUAAAGCCCUUUUGUUGGGAAAGAGAUCCAGCUGGCUAAUACCCGGUUGGGAUGACGGUACCCAAAGAAUAAGCACCGGCUAACUUCGUGCCAGCAGCCGCAGUAA